rnacentral:ribozyme from 1 species
UGGAGACCAUGCCAGAUGUGACCUUCUCGUGGUGUCUCCUGUGAGUAGCCCUUGAUUUUUUAGGGGUGAAACGAAGAGAUCU